CUUGAACCCAGUAGACGGAGGUUGCGGUGAGCCGAGAUCGCGCCAUGGCACUCCAGCCUGGGCAACAAGAGUGAAACUCCAUCUCAAAAAAAAAAAAAACUCACUGAAAGCCCUGCUUACACCUAGCAGAAAUCUCAUAAACUUCUAUGCAGAUGGAGGCUGGAUAAGUCAAUCUUCCCAUGUGAAUUUGGUGGACUCUAACAGACAGGCACUAAUACAGAACAAAAACACAAAAUAUGAUGUCAAUUCAUAUUGCAAUAGUGGAUUAAAAUGCACUAAGGCCGGGCGCGGUGGCUCACGCCUGUAAUCCCAGCACUUUGGGAGGCUGAGGCAGGCAGAUCACCUGAGGUCAGGAGUUUGAGACCAGCCCGGCCAGCAUGGUGAAACCCCGCCUCUACUAAAAAUACAAAAAAUUAGCUGGGCAUGGUGGUGCACGCCUGUAGUCCCAGCUACUCCGGAGGCUGAGGCAGGAGAAUUGCUUGAACCUGGCAGGUGGAGGUUGCAGUGAGCCGAGAUUGCGCCACUGUACUCCAGCCUGGCUAACAGAGCAAGAUUCCCUCUCAAAAUAAAAUAAAAUGCACUAAAAUUAUUUUACAAAAAAGAACAGGAAAAGAUGCUUAACAUCAUUAGUCACUAGGGAGAUGCAAAUCAAAAUCAAUGAGAUAACCACUACACAUCUAUUAGAAUGGUUAAAAAAAUUGACAACAUAAAAUAUGAGCAAGGAUGCAGAGCAACAGGAAUUUUCAUGCAUUGUUGGCAGGAUUGCAAAUGGUACAGCUUCUGGAAAACAUUUCGACAGUUUCAGUUUUUUUUUUGUUUUUUUUUUUGAGACAGAGUCUCAUUCUGUCGCCCAGGCUGGAGUGCAGUGGCGCGAUCUUGGCUCACUGCAACCUCUGCCUCCUGGGUUCA
rnacentral:lncRNA from 10 species